UUGAUGGAGAGCUUGCUCUCCUGAUGGUUAGCGGCGGACGGGUGAGUAACACGUAGGCAACCUGCCUGCAAGACCGGGAUAACCCACGGAAACGUGAGCUAAUACCGGAUAUCUCAUUUCCUCUCCUGAGGGGAUGAUGAAAGACGGAGCAAUCUGUCACUUGCGGAUGGGCCUGCGGCGCAUUAGCUAGUUGGUGAGGUAACGGCUCACCAAGGCGACGAUGCGUAGCCGACCUGAGAGGGUGAACGGCCACACUGGGACUGAGACACGGCCCAGACUCCUACGGGAGGCAGCAGUAGGGAAUCUUCCGCAAUGGGCGAAAGCCUGACGGAGCAACGCCGCGUGAGUGAUGAAGGUUUUCGGAUCGUAAAGCUCUGUUGCCAGGGAAGAACGUCCGAUAGAGUAACUGCUAUCGGAGUGACGGUACCUGAGAAGAAAGCCCCGGCUAACUACGUGCCAGCAGCCGCGGUAAUACGUAGGGGGCAAGCGUUGUCCGGAAUUAUUGGGCGUAAAGCGCGCGCAGGCGGUCAUUUAAGUCUGGUGUUUAAGGCCAAGGCUCAACCUUGGUUCGCACUGGAAACUGGGUGACUUGAGUGCAGAAGAGGAGAGUGGAAUUCCACGUGUAGCGGUGAAAUGCGUAGAUAUGUGGAGGAACACCAGUGGCGAAAGGCGACUCUCUGGGCUGUAACUGACGCUGAGGCGCGAAAGCGUGGGGAGCAAA
rnacentral:rRNA from 1 species